CAGUCGCCGCGGUAAUACGAAGGGUGCAAGCGUUACUCGGAAUUACUGGGCGUAAAGCGUGCGUAGGUGGUUGUUUAAGUCUGCUGUGAAAGCCCUGGGCUCAACCUGGGAAUUGCAGUGGAUACUGGGCGACUAGAGUAAGGUAGAGGAUAGUGGAAUUUCCUGUGUAGCGGUGAAAUGCGUAGAUAUAGGAAGGAACACCAGUGGCGAAGGCGACUACCUGGACUGAUACUGACACUGAGGUGCGAAAGCGUGGGGAGCAAACAGGAUUAGAUACCCCCGUAGUCCCUGUCUCUUAUAC
rnacentral:rRNA from 1 species